AGAGUUUGAUCCUGGCUCAGGACGAACGCUGGCGGCGUGCUUAAUACAUGCAAGUCGAACGGGGUCCAACCGGUGGCAACACCGGUGAAGACCUAGUGGCGAACGGGUGAGUAGCACGUGAGCAACCUGCCCCGAAGACUGGGAUAACACCGGGAAACCGGUGCUAAUACCGGAUGUCCCCAUCAGACCGCAUGAUCUGAUGAGGAAAGGAUUUCUGCUUCGGGAGGGGCUCGCGGCCUAUCAGCUUGAUGGUGAGGUAAUGGCUCACCAUGGCGACGACGGGUAGCUGGUCUGAGAGGACGAUCAGCCACACUGGGACUGAGACACGGCCCAGACUCCUACGGGAGGCAGCAGUAGGGAAUCUUGCGCAAUGGGCGAAAGCCUGACGCAGCAACGCCGCGUGAGGGACGAAGGCUUUCUGAGUUGUAAACCUCUUUCAGCAGGGACGAUUGUGACGGUACCUGCAGAAGAAGCACCGGCCAACUACGUGCCAGCAGCCGCGGUGAUACGUAGGGUGCGAGCGUUGUCCGGAUUUAUUGGGCGUAAAGAGCUCGUAGGCGGUUCGAUAAGUCGGGUGUGAAAUCUCCAGGCUCAACCUGGAGUCGCCACUCGAUACUGUCGUGACUAGAGUCCGGUAGGGGACCAUGGAAUUCCUGGUGUAGCGGUGAAAUGCGCAGAUAUCAGGAGGAACACCAGUAGCGAAGGCGGUGGUCUGGGCCGGCACUGACGCUGAGGAGCGAAAGCGUGGGGAGCGAACAGGAUUAGAUACCCCCGUAGUCC
rnacentral:rRNA from 1 species